rnacentral:rRNA from 1 species
CACCGCGGUUAUACGAGAGGCCCAAGCUGACAAUUGCCGGCGUAAAGAGUGGUUAAUAGCCCCACCAUACUAAAGCCGAACAUCUCCAAAGUUGUACAACGCACUCGAAGACAUGAAGACCUACCACGAAAGUGACUUUACAUUCUUUGAACCCACGAAAGCUAGGGAA